UACGGAGGGUGCAAGCGUUAUCCGGAUUCACUGGGUUUAAAGGGUGCGUAGGCGGGUAAGUAAGUCCGUGGUGAAAUCUCUGAGCUUAACUCAGAAACUGCCGUGGAUACUAUUUGCCUUGAAUAUUGUGGAGGUGAGCGGAAUAUGUCAUGUAGCGGUGAAAUGCUUAGAUAUGACAUAGAACACCAAUUGCGAAGGCAGCUGACUACGCGAAUAUUGACACUGAUGCACGAAAGCGUGGGGAUCAAACAGG
rnacentral:rRNA from 1 species